rnacentral:ncRNA from 2 species
GAGCGAUAUCGUCCCGAUGACCUUACAAGCGACAUGACGGAAUCCGGUGAGAGCCCGGAGCGGUCGCGCCACUGUAUGCCGGACCCGCGUCUGCCGGGACCGGCGAGUCAGACCCGUCAUGCGUAUCGAAGCUCC